rnacentral:snRNA from 1 species
AAAUGUUACAGCCCCUUUAGAAUUUGUCUAGCAGGUUUUGUAGCUUUUACCAAAAAACCUCC